rnacentral:ribozyme from 1 species
AAAAAUUGAAUGUAGGUUUCUGAUUUUGGCGUUUUUUCGUUUGUUUUUUUUUUUUUUUUUUUUUUUUUGACUCCUCUCCUGACGGGGAACAGAACACAAUGCCCUCUGAUGCCGGUUCGAAAAAAAGCGGAACGGAAACAGGAACACCGUCAACUGCGUUUCUUUUCGACUUUUUGGAAAGCACAAUGUCUACCACUUGUAAACAAA